CAGCAUUACUGCUCUUUUAGAAUUUGUCUAGCAGGUUUUCUGAGUUUUACAAAAAAAAAAAACCCCC
rnacentral:snRNA from 1 species